UGUAAUAUCACGGCUGCUCAUCUUUCAUCCCACGCCGGCGAGCUUCGACGAAUGGAAGAUAGCCACCUGCCAACGGUGGCGACGAACAGAAGUUGUUCUUCCCAAAACAGACUAGCGCACCGAAGGUGACAGAGACCGAUGAGCGGAGGCGACGGACCACCGCCACCACCACCGACCGUAGCCAUGGAAACUGAUAGCGUAGCUUCGGGCGAACGAUUCUCUCCUGAGGUUCUGGGUUUUAUGCGGCUUGCUAUAGAUCAGGCAAAGCUUGCGUUGGACAGCCUUGAAGUUCCAGUUGGCUGUGUGAUUGUUGAGGAUGAGAACGUUAUUGCGGCAGGAAGAAACCGGACUAACGAGACACGGAAUGCAACGAGACAUGCAGAGAUGGAAGCGAUUGAUGUUCUUCUUAUACAGUGGCAGAGGACUGGAUUUACGGCUGCAGAAGUUGCGGAGAAGUUUUCAGCAUGCUCCCUUUAUGUGACAUGUGAACCCUGCAUAAUGUGUGCAGCGGCAUUGUCAAUCAUUGGUAUAAAGGAAGUAUACUAUGGCUGUGCAAAUGAUAAAUUUGGAGGCUGUGGCUCAAUACUGUCGUUACAUUCAAGUAGCUCUGAGGCAUGCAUUAGUAUUGGGAAUUCUGGAUCAAAGGGAUUCAAAUGUUGUGGAGGUAUAAUGGCAUCAGAAGCCAUUUCUCUUCUGCGAGAUUUUUAUGAACGAGGAAACCCUAAUGCUCCAAAGCCUCACAGGUCACAGGUUACUCAGGCUUAAACUUAGAUCUACGUGCAUUGAUUCUUCCUGUUGAAUCUUCCCAUGCCUUUGCACAACUAGAGUUUCAUCAGGGGACCUGAGAAAGGAAGCGUGAUGCACGCGGGGAUCAGUUUUUGCCCGGAUGAUCAGGCGCUUACUGAGGGUUGCAGCUGUGGUCACAAGUCCAUUCAAUUAUUUAGCUUGAUUAUGAGAUUGUAAGAUAACUUAUGGCAUCGCCCUGUGUAGGUAUCCCUUUUUGUUAAUGCUAGUUUUUCUCAUCAACCUAUUCUGUAAUCUAGCUUGAUUAUUAUUAUUAUUUUUUUUAGCUUUCGAACUUUGAGGUAAUUCUAGGCACGCUAUUGAUGUGUCUGAGCUUCGUAAUCUUGGUCUAUAUCA